AGGUCAUUUAGGGGACAAUUCCUUAUUAAACCCAUGUAUGGCUCCUAUGCCUCAUAAAAAUACUCCCCCACUUUUUGCUCGAAAUUGGACAUGGCUUUCUUAAGUUU